rnacentral:rRNA from 1 species
AUGGCAGUAGCACAAACGACCACCAUCUUCUCCUCUGCCAUCAUCAUCGUGCUCUUUUCCUCGUCAAUUGUUGCUCAUACUAGCGGUGAUGUUGGUGGCAAGCCGAAGGCAGCCGAUUUCGUGACAGAAGCAUGCAAGAACGCUACAGCCAACUAUGACAAAGAAAUUCACCUCACGGAGAAAUUCUGUGUCUCGACCCUCCGGUCGGACAACCAAAGCGGCAAGGCUAAGGACCUUCAUGACCUGGCACUCAUUGGCGUAGACAUCCUCAAAGCACGUGUCGUCACAGCCAAUGGUAAGGUCCAAGAAAUGUUGCACAAAGCCAAAUCUGGCAUGUCGAGGGCGCGCCGACUCACUUUCUGCAAGCUGGACUAUGACGUGACGGACUACCGUGGCGCUGACGGUGGUGACAACGACGGGCCGCCGUCUUUUAUGCUCCCUCACUCUGUGGAGCAGGUGAACAUCCUCAGCGGUUACUGCGGGCAUGAGCUUCUGGAUAUGCCGGGGCUUCAUGCGUUGUUCAACGAGAAUCUUGACUAG